CUUCCCUUUCUUAAAGGGUCGACGACUAGAAGAAGACCCUCCCACAACAUUCACCGACUCCUUAUGGAGCUGGUGGUCCUUCUCAAAGUUCUGCAGCAACCUCAAAAAGCCGUGGUAGUUCACUGCAGGCUUUGUCAUCCAAAAAUGAGUAAGGAAGGGGAGGAAGGACUUGGGCAAAGAAUUAAGGAUCGCAUCCUUACCGAGCUGCUCGUGCAAGGGAAAGCCCAGUUUACUUAGGCACUCAAUCAUUUCGAUCAUGUACAGUACAUGAUCAGUGACUGAGGCCCCAUCCCUCAUCUAAGCAUUGAAAAUGGCACAACUAGUUUUGUGCCUUUCAAUAUCGUCAGGCAUGCCAAAGGAGUCGUUCAACAUUUGAAGCAUCUCCUGCGGC
rnacentral:lncRNA from 1 species